ACAUAGGGGUGCUCUGUAAAUAUUUGCUGAUUGAUUGGCUGAACCUCCCCAGAAACUCCAUCUCAUUGUGUGACCUUGGGCAACUCUCUUCCCUUCUUAAGGCCUCGGUUGCCCUGUCAAUGACAUGUUAGCUAUGAAACUCUCUAAAGUUUGGCCUAACUCUGAGACACUGGAAUUCUAGAAGGACCUGCAUUGUGACUCUGCAGGGGAAGGACAGCAUGUCCCUAUGACUGUAUACUAUCUGGUCCCUCCCAGCCCAGGCUACUCCACCUUGGGCCCCUAUUCCCACCCCGCCCCCAUCACUUUCUGGAUGAAGAGACUGCAUUAAGAGUCAUGUACAGUGCCGAGGGCUCAUUUAAACAUCUCAAAGUUCCUAUCAGUGAUACCCUUCCAUUCUUCCAGGGGCAGGAACCACAUUUUCUUUUUUCCUUCAUGACUCAGCACAUGGAAUCUGAGAACAUCCCUUACGAGCUAAAGGUUUGCAAUCCUUCAUCCAGACCUCAGCUCUGAAGGGAGCGGACCAUUUCAGAAACCCAAGGGAAGUCUAGGAGAUCCAGAACCCACUUUGACCCAGAGAAGAGACAUGUGGCCCAGACCAGGGAUUCUGCCUCCAAAUACAGAAUGGACACUGAGAACAUCACCCCCUCUGCCCAGUGACACCUGCCUAUUUCCAGGAAACUGUCUGAGGUCUGAACACCAGUGUCCCUGGAGGACUGAACAGAGAUGGAGAGAGAAAAAUCAGGGCUAACUCCUCUCCUGUGGUCCCCGCUGCCUAUGGAAGUCCUGACCUGACAGUCCAUUGUCUUCAUGACCUGGUCCCAAUUCACCCUCCUAGUUUUGUCUUCCCAAAUCCACCAAAGCCCAGCUUCAAAGUCAUCUCCUCCAGAAAACCUUCCUGGAGUAUCUUUUUUCCUCCAUACUCUCAUUGCUUGAGACAUUUGUCACUUCUUACCUCUUAUACAGCUAUCUCAUCUA